rnacentral:rRNA from 1 species
CUUGGUCAUUUAGAGGAAGUAAAAGUCGUAACAAGGUUUCCGUAGGUGAACCUGCGGAAGGAUCAUUAUUGUAACAAAAAUGUGUUAGAGGUGUGCAAGGGCUGUCGCUGACUUUUAACGCAAAAGUCGUGCGCGCCGGAGUGCGUCCUCUACACAUAAAAAUCCAUCUCACCCUUUUGUGCACCACCGCGUGGGCACCCUUCGGGAUCAAACCGAUCCAGGAAGGUGGCUUGCGUUUUCACACAAACCCCUUUUUUAAAAGUGUAGAAUGACCCCAUUUUUUGCGAUAACACGCGAUCAAUACAACUUUCAACAACGGAUCUCUUGGCUCUCGCAUCGAUGAAGAACGCAGCGAAAUGCGAUACGUAAUGUGAAUUGCAGAAUUCAGUGAAUCAUCGAAUCUUUGAACGCACCUUGCGCCCCUUGGUAUUCCGAGGGGCACACCCGUUUGAGUGUCGUGAAAAUCUCAACCUUCUUGGUUUCUUCUGGAAACCAAAGGAGGCUUGGACUUUGGAGGCCUUUGCUGGCGUCUCUCUCUUUUGAGAGCCCAGCUCCUCUUAAAUGAAUUAGCGGGGUCCUCUUUGCUGGUCCUCGACAUGUGAUAAGAUGUUUCCAUGUCUUGGUUUCUGGCUCUGUUGCUUUUGGGACCCGCUUCUAACCGUCUCGACGAGACAACGUUUGAGCACGUCUCCCGACGCUCUCAACCUCACGAACCCUUGACCUCAAAUCGGGUGAGACUACCCGCUGAACUUAAGCAUAUCAAUAAGCGGAGGAAAAGAAACUAACAAGGAUUCCCCUAGUAACUGCGAGUGAAGCGGGAAAAGCUCAAAUUUAAAAUCUGGCGGUCUUUGGCCGUCCGAGUUGUAAUUUAGAGAAGCGUCUUCCGCGCCGGACCGUGCACAAGUCUCCUGGAAUGGAGCGUCAUAGAGGGUGAGAAUCCCGUCUUUGGCACGGAUGCCUGGUGCUCUGUGAUG